rnacentral:rRNA from 1 species
UACGUAGGGUGCAAGCGUUAUCCGGAAUUAUUGGGCGUAAAGAGCUCGUAGGCGGUUUGUCGCGUCUGCUGUGAAAACUGGGGGCUCAACCCCCAGCCUGCAGUGGGUACGGGCAGACUAGAGUGCGGUAGGGGAGAUUGGAAUUCCUGGUGUAGCGGUGGAAUGCGCAGAUAUCAGGAGGAACACCGAUGGCGAAGGCAGAUCUCUGGGCCGUAACUGACGCUGAGGAGCGAAAGCAUGGGGGAGCGAACAGG